rfam:Streptococcus sp. DD13 genomic scaffold scaffold00001, whole genome shotgun sequence.
AGUUCAUUUGUUUAAAUCAAACCUGUUGUGAUUUAAGUGAGUGAACGCCUGUUCACCAUGCUGUUUGCUGAGCUAGACUCCGGGCAGUGUGGAUUUUUU